GGACAUGCUGCCAUGGAUAUUGCAAAGGCAUAUGCUGAUUAUAGAAUAAUUGAUAUGAUAAAAGAAAAACUAGAUGAACUGCCCAAACCAACAGAUAAUCAAAAAAUGAAAAGCAAGCUUCCUAAACUGAAGACAGAAGUCACAGAUGUUAAGAAAGAAGAGGGAACACUGUCAUCCAUUUACGCUGUGCCAGCAAUAACAGAGGAGAAGAAAACACACAGGGAUAAUGUGGUUUACCUCAAUUCUCUGAUUACCAGUGGCUUCACUAAGAAAGUGGAUAUCACAUUUAUCCCUAAAAGGAUUUGGAGUCCUGAAGCCACAACAGCACAGCUGAUCAGGAAGAGGGAACUCCGGAGAGAGAGGUUCACAUAUGAGGUGGACUUUGAAGACUUCAUGAUGCCUUUCCAAAAGAACAUCACAGAGAAAGCUCAGGCACUGGAAGCAAUGCUCAAGAAUUAAGUCAGUACAGUAGCCUCCUGGGAGAAGUGCUCUGUGGCCUCAGAGUUUGGAGAAAGUAAGACUUUGAAGAGGAACUGAUACACAAAUCUGAUCCCCCUAGAUUAUAGUGAUUUACCUGAUGAUUUGAAAAACUCCCCUGGUUCUCUAAAACUGAAAGAGUAUUAUGGUCUUUUGUUCCUGAGGCUUCAGUAUCAAGCUCCUGCCGAAGGAAGUGAAAAAUACAACUUUCCUCAUAGGAAUUAAUGAAAUCAACAUGUAAAAUAAAAUGAACAAUAUACAAAGUA